AAUUGCGACUCUUGCCUGAAAUACACCAGCAGCGCAGCGGAAAGGCGCAGUGCGCGUGUACUUUACAUGUGGAGAUUGUGUUGUCUUAUGCAUCACAAUUGGAAACGGUUCAGACAGCCCCGAUUUGCGCAGCUGAAAAAGACGCGGGCCGUUAGCCUGCAUGCAUGUCAGUGUUUUUCAAGUGUCUUUGAGUUUUGCAGCAUGACGGCGCGGUCUUGCUAGGAUAGGUGGAAAUGUCUGGAAGCUUAGCAGUAGUGCUUGACAUAGGAGUGCAAACAACUUUUUAGAGAAAAUUUUCUAAACGUAAAACUAUCCAGACCCAGAGUGGAGUAAUGAGGAUGUAGCAGGCAAUGAUAAGAGGCCCCAACCAGUCCUGUUUAUCGAUUGCUUCGUAGAGGAUAGUUGAGAUCCAGGAAAGCAGGGC